ensembl:lncRNA
CCGUGAUUUCACAUAUUUGGUUUUACACUUUUUAUUUUAUUUUUUAUUUUAUUUUUUGUGUAAAGAACAUAGCUCAUAAUAUCAAUAGAGAGUUGAAUGCAUAAUUUCAAUAAGACACACCACAUCAUUCUAGUUUAAGCACACAAUCAGCAGACCAAUCCCAUCAGAGUUCCCACUAAUUAGGAAAACUUCCCUCUGAUGUCACCACACUGGAGGAGCAAAUAGCAACAGAGAGGGAGAGAAAAAAGUCAGAGAGGAAGGGAUAGAGGAUCAUAUAGACACUCUUAACUUCAUCCACAGCUGUUAAAACUCCAGUCCAAUCUGUGCUUUCCCACUGCACGGCGAAGAUGGCGUUGGGAGAAAUAUGUUGCACUAUCGAUAUAAGCAAGACUAGGAGCUCUUCAAAAACAGCAGGCUUCCUGUUUUUUCUUUUAUUGCAAAUGAGUCUGCUCUCUAAAGUAUGGACAACUUCCACAACAGCUAGUCCAGCAACCACUCUGAAAACAGAUGCCAAAUCAUCUACAGUGUCAGACCCUGUUACCCAGAGUUUGACAACUCAGUCUACGUAUCCGGUAAGCACGUCCUCCUCCAUUUCUACUGACCAGAUGGCCACAUCAGGCUCUACAGUGACAGGAGCUUCAUCCACCUCAACACAGAACACUGCUUCUAACAGUGCUACUGUCGCCUCAGCUGGUAUUACUAGUAUGGAGACAGCAAACAUAUCUUCUUCAGAAAAUUACACGGCGCUAUCCUGUCCAGCAUUUGCUUGCACAAAAGAUUGUUAUGACCAGUUCAUGAAUAUGACGGCGAAGCCCUGCCAAUCCAGUGAAUACUUCUGUAAGAUAAUGAAAGGCGAUGCAGGUUACUCUGUCAGCUGCAGUGCCUCAUGUGGCGUGCCCUGUGAGAACGGGACUCUCAGUAAUUGCUCUGUCAACUGUUGCAACACAACUAACUGCCUCAACAACAGUCUGCUUGCCAUGUUCAAUUCACUCAAUACCACAGCUACAACAAAACCGACUACUACAACCACAACCAUAAAGACCACAGUUCCAACCACCCCAGCAAGCAAUGGCAAGAAGUGUCAUAAUUUCAAGUGUAAUGGAGCAGCGUGUUACAAAGCCAAUGUCGCCAGUAAUGCUGCAUGUCCAGUUGGUCUGGACUACUGCAUGCUACAAAAGACAACAUCUGGCACCACAGAAAGCUGGCAGGCGGGUUGCAGUACAGAUUGCAGAAAGAUGACAGCUUGUUCAAGCACCAGUACUGCCUGUCACCUGGAGUGCUGCAAUGCCACUACCACCUCAUGCCUCAAACUGACAGGUGAAGUGAACAUGCCCAGCUCUGCCACCAGGAGUCCUCACUGUCCCGCACUGCUCAUGGCCUCUUUGCUGUUCUUCUGGAUAGUCAAAAUCUUAAAUUGAGCAUAACAGUUACAUUUAAUAUGCAAUCCAUUCUGUUAGGAGAGUGUGUGUGUCUUAAAGCUGAUUGUACUUCUUUUACUGUCACUUUUACAUUCUUUGUGAUGUAAGCAAAUUAAGGUGUGUGUGUGUCUAUAAGAUCAACAUGAGAAGCAGAAUGUAUGUAUAUAUAUAUAUAUAUAUAUAUAUAUAUAUAUAUGCAUGUGUGUGUGUGUGUGUGUGUGUGUGUGUGUGUAGAUGCCAAAUAAGCUUUACCAUUGGCAUCUGUAUGUGUGAGAGCUACAUCAAGUGGGAACAUGUUGGAUUCUUUCUAUCACAGAGUUAGACAGAAAUGAUCCAAAGAGGAAUAUAUUAACAAUGCAGUGACAAAUAUGAGGUUUGCUUCCUCUCACGAGUUGUGUAUGUUUGAUUAAUUCUUGCUCUUUUUUGCCGUUAAUGUACACUGUAAGAAAAAUAAAUAUGUAGAAAAUGGACAUUUCCUUCAACUCUAAAAAAAUGUGCAACUGGUAAAACAUCUGUGAAAAAUCGAAACAUAUUAACAUGGUACAUAGAGCUGUAUUUUUAUGGACUUUUCUUACAGUGUGCACAUGUCUGAAUUUUGAUUACAGUCAAUCAUAGUUAUCUGAUGCUUCUUUUCUUAUAUUUUGUUUGGUGUCCAAUGUACACAUUUCUAAAAAAGCAAUGUUCUCUUCUAUAUUACUCAAAAUACUCCAAAGAAUAUUAUUAGAAUGCUCAGAUAAUCCAUUUUCUGAUACUAAUUAUAUGAAAUAUAAAACAGGUUGUCCAAUCAGAUUUCACCGUGUGCGCAUGCAAAAAUAAUAGUUAUGUACAAACCUGCUAACAUCAAACAAAUGGAGUAUGCACUUUUUGCAUCUAAAUGGAAAUUAGACAAUGUGAAAUAUUUGUAACCAUGGCUGUGAAAACCCAGCUAAAGUCAUGUUUUUUUUAUUUAUUUCAAUUUUAUUAAUGCCAUGUCAAAGAUUGAAAUCAUAAUGAAAUUAAUGGUUGAAAUCAAACUUUGAUGCUUGUCAUCUCAUAAUUAGAUUUUAAGACUUUAGCCUGGAUUUCACAUAGAGGGUCACAUUUAUAAAGAAUUUAUAAUAUUACUCAUAUGGAUGCCUGUACUCAUAAAUAUAAAGCUUUAUUUUUAAAGAAAAAUGUGUUUAUUAAAAUGUAAGUGUACAGAUCUAAGAGCAUAUGGGCUAAGCUAAUUUUCUUAAAUAACAUUUGAAUUCACAAAUUCUGUCAGAGUAACACUUCUGAUAAAUGUCAUGAUUAGGAUUUUGACAGCUCGGUUGAUAAAGGUUGCAGUGAUGUUUAUUGCUCUGUACUGCUAAUGCAAGAAAUAGAUCUUAAUGAUUGCUUUUGAAAUUAAUAAAUAAAUACUUUAUCUUCUCAG